rnacentral:rRNA from 1 species
GCGCACGCUGGCGGCAGGCUUAACACCUGCAAGUCGAGCGGGCACUUCGGUGUCAGCGGCAGACGGGUGAGUAACACGUGGGAACGUACCCUUUGGUUCGGAAUAACGCUGGGAAACUAGCGCUAAUACCGGAUACGCCCUUUUGGGGAAAGGCUUGCUGCCGAAGGAUCGGCCCGCGUCUGAUUAGCUAGUUGGUGGGGUAAUGGCCUACCAAGGCGACGAUCAGUAGCUGGUCUGAGAGGAUGAUCAGCCACACUGGGACUGAGACACGGCCCAGACUCCUACGGGAGGCAGCAGUGGGGAAUAUUGGACAAUGGGCGCAAGCCUGAUCCAGCCAUGCCGCGUGAGUGAUGAAGGCCUUAGGGUUGUAAAGCUCUUUUGUCCGGGACGAUAAUGACGGUACCGGAAGAAUAAGCCCCGGCUAACUUCGUG